UCGAACGGUAACAUUUCUAGCUUGCUAGAAGAUGACGAGUGGCGGACGGGUGAGUAAUGCUUGGGAACUUGCCUUUGCGAGGGGGAUAACAGUUGGAAACGACUGCUAAUACCGCAUAAUGUCUUCGGACCAAACGGGGCUUCGGCUCCGGCGCAAAGAGAGGCCCAAGUGAGAUUAGCUAGUUGGUAAGGUAACGGCUUACCAAGGCGACGAUCUCUAGCUGUUCUGAGAGGAAGAUCAGCCACACUGGGACUGAGACACGGCCCAGACUCCUACGGGAGGCAGCAGUGGGGAAUAUUGCACAAUGGGGGAAACCCUGAUGCAGCCAUGCCGCGUGUGUGAAGAAGGCCUUCGGGUUGUAAAGCACUUUCAGUUGUGAGGAAAAGUUAGUAGUUAAUACCUGCUAACCGUGACGUUAACAACAGAAGAAGCACCGGCUAACUCCGUGCCAGCAGCCGCGGUAAUACGGAGGGUGCGAGCGUUAAUCGGAAUUACUGGGCGUAAAGCGCACGCAGGCGGUUUGUUAAGCUAGAUGUGAAAGCCCCGGGCUCAACCUGGGAUGGUCAUUUAGAACUGGCAGACUAGAGUCUUGGAGAGGGGAGUGGAAUUCCAGGUGUAGCGGUGAAAUGCGUAGAUAUCUGGAGGAACAUCAGUGGCGAAGGCGACUCCCUGGCCAAAGACUGACGCUCAUGUGCGAAAGUGUGGGUAGCGAACAGGAUUAGAUACCCUGGUAGUCCACACCGUAAACGCUGUCUACUAGCUGUGUGUGUCUUUAAGGCGUGCGUAGCGAAGCUAACGCGCUAAGUAGACCGCCUGGGGAGUACGGCCGCAAGGUUAAAACUCAAAUGAAUUGACGGGGGCCCGCACAAGCGGUGGAGCAUGUGGUUUAAUUCGAUGCACG
rnacentral:rRNA from 2 species